rnacentral:lncRNA from 1 species
AUGGUGUACAAGUGUUCUGCUUCUGGAUGCAAGCAAGGCAAUGACUGGAUUACUUAGGAUACGGAACCCCAUUAUAAUAUCACAAAAUCCCCAUGAAAGACUCCAAAAACCUAACGAAAUGGCUUAGGGAUAUGCCAAGAGAUACGAUUGACUAGACACCAACAGCAAAUUCAAGACUAUGCAGUCUGCAUUUUAAAGUUACUCAUUUUGUCACUGAAUCUUUUAAUCAAUCCCGUACUAAAGGAAAAUCACUCCAUCGAAGGCGGUUGAAAGAUGAUGCCAUCCCAUCAAAUUGGCCGAAUCUGCCAAGCUAUCUCUCAUUACCAUCAUCACCUCCAAGACCAACACAUGCAUCAACUAGCACCAAAAGUAUAGCAUUUGGAGAAUGAAAGGCAAGAAGAUCUUGAGUAUGCAGAAGAGACCGUUCUAUCAGCUCAAAAACCUCUAUGACAAAAUCAUUACCCUUGCACUUGUCAAAAUUAUACAUUCAGAUAUGAAAGGGCUAGAUAUUGCAGCUUCCCGGAGGGGGAAGAAGAAAUAUCCUUCAGGAUCUUUUGUAACAACAUCAAACUAAAUAAGAGCUUAGUAUCACAUUGCAUAAAUUCAGACACUAGAAUUAACUCCUGUACUGAAGCUAUCAGCAUUGCAGCUUUCCUGGGCUCCACGAAUAGAGAAAAAAACAUUUGAAAUUUGUGAAUAGCUUCUUAAUUUUUCAACUCAGCAUCAAUGGACCAGGGGCAAUCUUCCAAGUUCUCAUUCAUAACGUAACAAAUGUCUCAUCUCUUCUAAAUUGUAAAAGUAAAAGAUAUUAUUUUGUGCCCCUACCUCGUGCUUUAAUAUGGCACAAUGUCAGUUCACAAAAUCAAACUAAUAAAACGGUUGUAUGAUUUACGAUAACAGGAAUGGCUUGUAGUUACCGUGAAAUAGUUUGGAUGAUAUCUAAUUUAUAUAUUGAAGAUAUCUGCCUAGUUAGUGCAAAAAAGAAUAAACUAAAAGUGAAUUAUUCUUGUCUCAUCAAUAUAUGAUGUCUAUACUAACAAUAGGAAUUAAGUGAAUGUAAUAAGUUAUAAAGGAAUAAAAACUUACUAUUUAACAAACAUCCAAUGGCUACUACUUAUACAUAAAUUGUUUUGUUAUUUGAUACCUCAUUCAAGUCCAUCUAUACAAAGACGAAAAAAUGGUCAUAUCUAAAAUCUUAUCUAUAAAAAUUGAUCAAUAUGACAUGCAAAUUGUAGGCCAUUUUAGACUAUUAUGGAAAAUCUCCUAACUGUAAAACUUUUUUCGAGUAUCUUCAACAAAAAUUAGUACUAUAAUUUUUAAAAAACAAGAAGCUUUUACAAAUGUGAAAAAUUGAAAGGCCAUAAUUUUUGAGCCAAAAAUUUGUCAAACAGCUGAAUUCAUAUAUUACAAAAGUCAUCUAUCAAAUAUGAAAGGUGUGGAAUUAUAAGGUUAAAAUUAGUCUUUCACGGAAGGAAAAUUACUCAUUUGUAAAUGAAUUCAAAUCAUUAACUAUAUGCAUACAUAAAAAACAAAUUUACAGAGACAGCUAAAAAUUUGUUAUUUAUAUGAAAACUUAUUAAAUUUGAAUCAAAUCUGCUAUUUGCAAGGGAACCACAUCAAAGAAUAGAAUGUGUGACGUCAAAUAGAUAUAAAUGUUUUUCCUAUAAUUUCACAACUGUGGGUUUAACAAGAUGACAAACAUUGAUAUUUAUAGUAGUUUGUAGGAAGAUCAAAAUAUAUUAGAUAUAAAUUUGAUAAUUAUUAGUACCAUCAUAAGUAAAGACAAUAUUUUUAUCUUUGGUUUAUAAAUAAACAACUCUGAACUUGUGGUGGUCUUUUUGGGAUUCAAUACAAGCAAUGUGUUUAUUCAUUCAACGCCAUACUGGAAUAGUUGAGAUAAGUAGCAAAUGAUGUCCAGACCAAAUAGGGUACUAAAAGGAGCCCAGCAAAUAUGCUCAAUCGGGAAAAAGAAAUCAGUGUGGUUCCAAUUGCAUAUUUGAAUAAGAAAAGAACAUCAUCAAGUGAAAAUCAAAUCAAGUAUAUGUAUAUUUAUGUAAAAUAAAUUUACAUACUAUUGUUAUCUGUUGAUACCCAAAAUAUAAAGGUGACCAAGACCAGUUGAGUAAUAAUUGUAGGGUGUAGAGAACGAGUGGUAUACUAGCAGGCCCUUUUAACUUAUCUCCUCCAGAUCUAUACACUAAGUAGGUAGCAAAGCCCAUGGACAAAUACAGAUAUGCCCAAACUGGAGCAAAAAUCCAUCCAGGAGGUUGAAGUGCUGGCAUGCUGAGGGUUUGCAAAUCAAAUAUUUUAUAAAUUUUUAUAUACAAUCUUCUAAUAUUUAUAUGUUUUUAGAAUCAAAAGGUUCAAUACAGGCUUGGAUAUUGAGAGGAAAAUGAUCGUUGAUCAUGCUUUCCGUUAUUUUUUAAAUCCCAAAGUGCCUGUAGGGUUAGAAAAAUUUGAACAAUGAACGAAGUAAAUAUAAAAAAAACAGCGUUAAUUCAUUGUUCUCUAAAGACGUAUUUUACAAAAGUAAUAUAGCUAAAACCAUAUGGUGAAACGACACGCACAAGAUCAAAUUUUAUCUACUAUAUUUAAUAAAACAAAAAUUAUUUUUUUCUAGUAUCCUGAUCAAUGUUACUAGAACUAGGUUAGGCAACAAGAGAAUGGCUGGGUAAGCACAGCAGAUUUAUUAAAUAAAUAUCUUUCUAUUUUUGAUGACGUCCUUGGGACGAGCCUUGGUUAUUGGCUAUUCAUUCUACUAAUAAAUUUAAAUAAAAUUUGUUAUUAUCAUUGUAGUGGCUGUUUGUCAAACCCCAAGAGGCGUUUCAUACUACCGAUUCCCAAAAGACCUUGCAAGAAGGAAGGCUUGGAUUUUUGCUUCUUGAAGAAAAGACAAAUUCAAUACUGAUAAAGCCAGAAUUUGUGCUCAUCAUUUUGAUCCUUUGUGUUUCAUACAUUGGAUAAAUAAACUUUGUAACUAAUAAAA